GAAAUUGAACUCGCUGUGAAGAUGCAGUGUACCCGCGGCAAGACGGAAAGACCCCGUGAACCUUUACUAUAGCUUGACACUGAACAUUGAGCCUUGAUGUGUAGGAUAGGUGGGAGGCUUUGAAGUGUGGACGCCAGUCUGCAUGGAGCCGACCUUGAAAUACCACCCUUUAAUGUUUGAUGUUCUAACGUUGGCCCGUUAUCCGGGUUGCGGACAGUGUCUGGUGGGUAGUUUGACUGGGGCGGUCUCCUCCUAAAGAGUAACGGAGGAGCACGAAGGUUGGCUAAUCCUGGUCGGACAUCAGGAGGUUAGUGCAAUGGCAUAAGCCAGCUUGACUGCGAGCGUGACGGCGCGAGCAGGUGCGAAAGCAGGUCAUAGUGAUCCGGUGGUUCUGAAUGGAAGGGCCAUCGCUCAACGGAUAAAAGGUACUCCGGGGAUAACAGGCUGAUACCGCCCAAGAGUUCAUAUCGACGGCGGUGUUUGGCACCUCGAUGUCGGCUCAUCACAUCCUGGGGCUGAAGUAGGUCCCAAGGGUAUGGCUGUUCGCCAUUUAAAGUGGUACGCGAGCUGGGUUUAGAACGUCGUGAGACAGUUCGGUCCCUAUCUGCCGUGGGCGCUGGAGAACUGAGGGGGGCUGCUCCUAGUACGAGAGGACCGGAGUGGACGCAUCACUGGUGUUCGGGUUGUCAUGCCAAUGGCACUGCCCGGUAGCUAAAUGCGGAAGAGAUAAGUGCUGAAAGCAUCUAAGCACGAAACUUGCCCCGAGAUGAGUUCUCCCUGACUCCCUGAGAGUCCUGAAGGAACGUUGAAGACGACGACGUUGAUAGGCCGGGUGUGUAAGCGCAGCGAUGCGUUGAGCUAACCGGUACUAAUGAACCGUGAGG
rnacentral:rRNA from 1 species